CCAAAACCCAAAGGGACUCGCCCACUGCAGAUGUUCUAAACGCAAUGCCCGCCUUCUCCAAAUUGCAACAGGGUAUCUCGCAAUUCUACUCUCCCUUUCUCAACCAUAUAUCUUUAACCAACAAAAUCGCCAAAUCCCUUCAGUUUCACCCCCUAACCCUAAUUUCGCUAAUGGUGACUGCAUCCGCUUCUACAAAGAGACCCACUUGUCCAUCAUGCUCUAAACCGGCCAGCAUUUGCCUUUGCAGCCGCCUCCGAACUCCGCUUCUCCAUAAUUCUGUCUCCGUCACCAUUUUCCAACAUAGCCUUGAGAAAAAUCACCCUCUCAAUUCCGCCCGAAUCGCUAAAAUUGGGCUGAAGAAUGUUAAUGUAGUUACUGUAUCAGAUGUUAAUUUUGAGGCCCAGUUCUUUAUACGGCCACUCGAAGUCGAUGAAAGCUGCCAUCUGUUCGAUGAAAUGCCAAGCAAAGGAAGAAAUGAUGAGUUUCUUGAAACAGCGAAUUUGGGAGCAGAUUAUGCGGAUUUAGAGGGACGUAUUAUGGGAAGGAAUGAGUUUAACGUAGCUGAAACGAGUCAACUUUGCCAGCACGUUAUGAAUUUGAAGGGUUCUGAACUCAGUGCUUUCGAUUUCACCAUUGCAAAAUCUGGUACCAUUAGCUCAAUGAACUGUAAGAUGGGACCCGCCAAAAUUCAGGAAAUGAGCUUCGAUCAGCUAUUGGCCUCGGAUGCUGCCGUUGACGAGAUAAGAAAAGGAUUCGUGGUGAAAAAAGUUAAGGUGUCGGAAGCGUUUGGUGAAUGCGAAGAAGUUGAGGAAUUUGAAAUUGCAGUUCCAUGUGGAUCAGUUCUCUUGUUUCCUACUGAAAGCUCGGUUGAUGUUGAGGCUAUAGAAUUUGAGGUGAAGAAUUUGAUAGUGCUGGAUGGAACAUGGGCGAAGGCGAAGAGAAUGUACAAGGAGAACCCGUGGUUGCGGCUGCUGCCGCAUUUAAGGUUGGAUAUAGAUAAAUCGAGCUUGUACGAGGAGGUGAGGACUCAGCCUCGGGCGGGCUAUUUGUCCACGAUCGAGAGCAUUGUGUAUGCAAUGAAGGCUGUGGGGGAAGAAGAAGCGGAUGGAUUGGAUGGUCUCUUGGAUGUGUUUGAAUCCAUGGUCGGGGAUCAAAGGCGAUGCAAAGAUGAAAGAAUGAGCAAAGUCUUGGGGAAGUAAGCAUUGCCAUUCGAGGUGCAUUUUCUCUUCCCUUUCUUGUUAUGUUUCACUCCUUGAUUGAUUUCAACAUACUUCCAUAUUACGAAAAUGGAUGCUAGAAUUGGUUUCUCUCGAACCUCAAAAGGAUUUUAUACAUUAUUUAUUUCAUCAAAAUAUACCUCUGCUUAUCUAAUUUUUACUCCAAAACUUAAAUGCUGUUACAUUUUGUUCUUGGUUAAAUAUGUCCUUCCGAUGUUGUAGUUUAUGUACUCGAAUUUUCUCAAAUUUAAAGUGAAGGGUUGUCUACUGAAAACAAGACUUUAUGCUUGUAUACAUUGAUUCCUUAGUUCACUGUGAUUCUUCUAUCUGAAAUAUUGUUAUUGCAUAAUCUCAUUAUAGUCCAAUUUAUCUCAUACUAUAGAUUAUAUGGUGUGUUGUAGAUCACAGAAGAUCAUAUAAUUGGAAAAAGUUGAGAUAUAAAUUGAGUUCACAAUCGAGGCAACUAUGGACGAGUUGCUGGUUUAGAUUGUAGCAUAAAUGGAUAAAUAGUUUGUCUUGGCUAUUUAUUUAUGCUAGUACCUUCGUGUAUUGAACAGGAUCACAGUGAGAUGAAUUCUUAUAUUCUGACUAAUUAAGAAUCAUGAUCUCGGUGACUUAAAUAGUCUUAACCUUAGUUGGAUUAAUCGGUGUGAAUAAUAUAUUGACUAUUGCUUUGAUUUAUCAUGGGUGAGAGUUCUCUUGAAGCUCAAUAUACUCGAUACUUUGGGUGAUAGCAAUUAUUAUUUGACAUGCGAUUAUAUUGCAAUAAGGAUCCGUGUCCUGCUAAUAACAGGAUGAUAAUAUCCUCUCGAGGAACUUAAUAAGUUUAUCGUAUUAAACCCUGCAGGUGGAAUUAGUUCCGAUACGAUAAUAAGUUUAAGUGGUAGCACUCGAGAUGUCGUUUAUUAUUAAACGACUAAUUAAUUAAUUAAUUGAUCGUCAGAGAAAUUAAUUAAUUAAUGGAUAUUGGAUAUCUUAAACACGGGGAUUAAUUAAGUCUAAUACUAGCCCCGACUCACCUAAAAAAUAAAGAGGUACGUAAUUCAGUAUUAAUUUUCUAGUGGAAUAAAUUAAUACUUGUGUCUCGAUUUUAUUCUGGGCUGAAUAAGAAAAUCGAGCACUGGGAGGCCAAACUUUAUUCAAGCUAGUAGAUCCCCGCUUGGCCCAAUAAAGGUUCAACUCCUUAAGUGGGGCGUCCCCUCCUCUCUUAAGCCUUUGGGCUUGGUUUGAUUUAAUUAUGUUUUGGGCUUAUUAUUUAGGUAUGUCUAAUACCUAGUAUAAGUAAUAAGACAACCCUAAACCUAAUCAAUUAAUCACACACGUGAGAGUGAGGAGACGCCAACUUUGAGGGAGAGGGCUUGAAGCACGUUGCCACCCAACGUCGAGCUCUACCGUGGGAACAAGUUGGAAGAUCAACACUGGAGUCUUUGAUCGUCGAAUUUGCAAGUAAGUUUCGAACCCUUGCAAUAGGCACUUGUGAUUUUUGUAUGUACUUGUUUGGCAUCCGGAAUGGGUCACGGGCAAAUGGAUCAUACGUCAAACUAUGGUUCCUACAUAAAGAUGAUCGUAGACAUCUUCCUUUUUAAUUUACAUUCAGGUGUGGAAUUCUCCUAUACUCUAACAAAGACAGAAAUAACCAGGGCUAUAAUGCAAACCAGCCAUAUGAUGAAAAUUAGAAUUCAUCAUCGAUCUAGUCUGUGACAAAAAUUAGUAAUCAAAAACACUAAACAUAUUGUAUUGUUGAAAGGGUUAAUUCCCUGUAAAUACAUUAACUUUCACAAAAUUAUGAAAUUGCACAUCAUCUUUUAAAUCCGCCCCAUAAUACAUCACCUUUAUCUAUUUUCUGAUUUUGCACAUGACCACUCAAUCUGCCAACCGUGAAGAUGAGUUGGCAGUCGGAAAUCCACAUAAGCACGCCGGCCGGAGCAUUUAAAUGACGUGGCUGACAGAGUGGCCAAACUAUGUCGUUUUUAAUUAAAACUUUUAAUCCCUAUAAUCAUAAAAUCCCUAAAUCAGAUUUUGUAGAACACUCGCACGCCUCCCUCACUCAUCUCUCUAAACUCACGGUCGAGCACACCGCGCCGGCCGAACUCAGGGGGCCAUCGCGCCGGCCGGACUCAGGGUCGAUUUCGGGCGAGCGACGGAAGGCUUGGGCUUGGUGUUUUUCAGGCGAGCGAUUUCACUGUUUGGGCUCGCGAGGGUGAGGCAAAAAUCGACGGCUCGCGAGCGAUUUCGUUGCUUUUACAGCUGCAGAGAUUCAGGCUCGCCAUGACCAGGUUUAAUUAAGUUGAAGUGAGUUAUGCACAUUUUUCUUACCGUGAAAUCGCCUUGGGCAGAAUUAUAUUGAUGUGAAAUCGGCGGCCAAGGUAGAUUUCUUACCGUGAAAUCGACGCCUUGUUAUACUGCUCUUGCAAGGAGCUGUCAGCUCCUUCAGAACCAGAUCCUAUGGCUUUUGCAUUACAUUGCCAGAAUGUCCCGGAUGGAUCUAUAGUAUCUAUUCCAGUUUCAAAUCUCAAUUAGUGUUGAUUUCUACAUUGUUCAUUAGGGGAAAAUUGACAAUUCUCGAAAACCAAGUGAAAUUGCAAGAAUUAUAUCAUCUAAGUAACAUCCACACUUGGAAAUAUUAUAUAUUUGUUCCUAUGAUUUGAUUCUGGAAUUACACUAGUCAUAUGUGCAACAAUAAUAGUCUGUUUAUUUCACAGUAAGCAACUCAAUCAAACAUGCCUCUCGGAUUCUGAGAACUAAAUGUUCAUUAUCUUUGCGGGACCAGGCUUCGAUGUUGAACUCAUCUAGUGCAAGAGACUCCAGUGGUGGAUUUCAGAGUUGAGUGAGGGAGGCGUGCGAGUGUUCUUCGAAAUCUGAUUUAGGGAUUUUAUGAUUUUAGGAAUUGAAAGUUUUAAUUAAAAACGACAUAGUUUUGCCACUCUGUCAGCCACGUCAUUAAAUGCUCCGACCGGCGUGCUUAUAUGGAUUUCCCGCUGCCAACUCAUCUUCACAGUUGGCAGAUUGAGUGGUCAUGUGCAAAAUCAGAAAUAGAUAAAUGUGAUGUAUUCUGGGGCGAAUUUUAAAGAUGAUGUGCAAUUUCAGAAUUUAGUGAAAGUUAAUGUAUUUACAGGUAA